GAUGAGGAACGUAGCGAAAUGCGAUAAGUAAUGUGAAUUGCAGAAUUCAGUGAAUCAUCGAAUCUUUGAACGCACAUUGCGCCCGUCAGUAUUCUGGCGGGCAUGCCUGUUCGAGCGUCAUUACGCCCCUCAAGUCCCCUGUGGACUUGGUGUUGGGGAUCGGCGAGGCUGGUUUUCCAGCACAGCCGUCCCUUAAAUUAAUUGGCGGUCUCGCCGUGGCCCUCCUCUGCGCAGUAGUAAAACACUCGCAACAGGAGCCCGGCGCGGUCCACUGCCGUAAAACCCCCCAACUUUUUAUAGUUGACCUCGAAUCAGGUAGGACUACCCGCUGAAAUUAAGCAUAUCAAUAAGCGGAGGA
rnacentral:misc_RNA from 1 species